AUUGAACGCUGGCGGCAGGCCUAACACAUGCACGUCGCACGAGUGGCGGACGGGUGAGUAAUGUCUGGGAACCUGCCUGAUGGAGGGGGAUAACUACUGGAAACGGUAGCUAAUCCCGCAUACCAUCAGAUGUUCCCAGAUGGGAUUAGCUAGUUGGUGGGGUAACGGCUCACCAAGGCGACGAUCCCUAGCUGGUCUGAGAGGAUGACCAGCCACAGGGGAACUGAGACACGGUCCAGACGCCUACGGUAGGCAGCAGUGGGGAAUAUUGCACAAUGGGCGCAAGCCGGAUGCAGCCAUGCCGCGUGUAUGAAGAAGGCCUUCGGGUUGUAAAGUACUUGCAGCGGGGAGGCGUUACCCGCAGAAGAAGCACCGGCUAACUCCGUGCGAGCAGCCGCGGUAAUAC
rnacentral:rRNA from 1 species